rnacentral:rRNA from 1 species
GAUCAAGCUACUAAGGGCGUACGGAGGAUGCCUUGGCGAGAGCAGGCGAUGAAGGACGUGGCUAACUGCGAAAAGCCUCGGCGAGCUGUAAGCAAGCUUUGAACCGGGGAUGUCCGAAUGGGGAAACCUGGCGGGAGUAAACUCCCGUCGCCGUCGGCUGAAUUCAUAGGUCGGCGGGGCGAACCCGGGGAAGUGAACCAUCUCAGUACCCGGAGGAAAAGAAAAUAACGAUGAUUCCGCUAGUAGCGGCGAGCGAACGCGGACCAGCCCAAACCGGGCGACCCUCACGGGAAGCCCGGGGUUGUAGGACCUCAUCACGGGACCGUCGAUCCUAGCCGAACGGUUUGGAAAAACCGGCCGGAGGAAGUGACAGCCUUGUAGGCGAAAGGUGAAGCGGCCCAGAGGGAUCCUGAGUACCGCGGGACACGAGAAAUCCUGUGGGAAUCUGCCGGGACCAUCCGGUAAGGCUAAAUACUCGCUCUCGACCGAUAGUGAACCAGUACCGUGAGGGAAAGGUGAAAAGUACCCCUGCUAGGGGAGUUAAAAGUACCUGAAACCGUAUGCCUACAAGCAGUGGGAGGGCUAUGGCGAGCUUUCGGGCUCGCAAUGCCUGACCGCGUGCCUUUUGCUUAAUGAGCUGGCUAGUUAAUCUCAGUGGCAAGGUUAAGAAUAAUCGAGCCGCAGCGAAAGCGAGUCUGAAUAGGGCGAGGAGUCGCUGGGAUUAGACGCGAAGCGGGAUGAUCUACCCUUGGUCAGGGUGAAGUUUGUGUAACAGCAAAUGGAGGCCCGAACCAGUGUCGGUUGAAAACGGCUUGGAUGAACUGAGGGUAGGGGUGAAAGGCUAAUCAAAUUCCGUGAUAGCUCGUUCUCUCCGAAAUAGCUUUAGGGCUAGCCUUGUGCGAACGCGAUGGUGGUAGGCCUCUGGAUGGACUAGGGGGUUUCACAACUUACCGAAUCCAACUAAAGUACGAAUGCCAUCGACGAAAUUGCAUGGGAGUCAGACUGCGGGGGCUAAGCUUCGUAGUCGAGAGGAAAACAGUCCAGACCGCCGGCUAAGGUCCCCAAGUAACGCUCAGUGGGUAAGGAAGUCAAGUCGCUAUGACAGCCAGGAGGUUGGCUUAGAAGCAGCCAUCCUUUAAAGAAAGCGUAACAGCUCACUGGUCAAGCGCCUCGGCGCCGAAAAUGUAUCGGGGCUCAAGCGUUACACCGAAGCCGCGGAUUCCCGGCCUGCUUGCAGGGCGGGGAUGGUAGGAGAGCGUUCUUGUCGCUUUGAAGCCGAACCGAGAGGAUCGGUGGAGCGCCAAGAAGUGACUCUGCCAGCAUUAGUAGCGAGAAGCCAGGCGAGAACCCUGGCCGCCGAAAGUCUAAGGUUUCCCGGGGAAGGUUAAUCCGCCCGGGGUUAGUCGGGUCCUAAGGCCAGGCCGAAAGGCGUAGCCGAUGGACACGCGGUUAAUAUUCCGCGACCGCCUUGCGUCGUUACACGAUGGGGUGACGCAGGAAGUAAAGCAGGAAGGGUGAUGGAUAUCCCUUUUGGUCGUCUCAAGGUGCCUGGGCAGGCAAAUCCACCCAGGAAUACACUGAGGGCGAACGCGAGGCCGCACGGCCACAAAGCUGCGUAGCUACACUGCCAGGAAAAACCUCUAAGGAGAUGGCAAGGCGCCCGUACCGUAAACGGACACACGUAGACGAGAAGAGAAUUCUCAGGCGCUCGGGUGAUUGGUUGUUCAGGAACUCGGCAAAAUUGCUCCGUAACUUCGGGAGAAGGAGUGCCCUCGCGAGAGGGCCGCAGAGAAUUGGCUCAGGCGACUGUUUAACAAAAACACAGGUCUCUGCUAAGUCGAAAACGACGUAUAGGGGCUGACGCCUGCCCGGUGCCGGAAGGUUAAGAGGAGAGGUUAGCUUCGGCGAAGCUUCGAAUCGAAGCCCCGGUGAACGGCGGCCGUAACUAUAACGGUCCUAAGGUCGCGAACUUCCUUGGCGGAUAAGGUCCGACCUGCACGAAUGGCGUAACGAUCUGAGCACUGUCUUAACAACCAGCCCGGCGAAGUUGUGGUACCGGUGAAGACGCCGGUUACCCGCCAAAGGACGGAAAGACCCCGUGCACCUUUACUACAGCUUUACAGUGAUUCAUGAUUUAGCUUGCCCAGGAUAGGUGGGAGGCUUUGAAGCCGGACUUUCGGGUUCGGUGGAGCCACCCUUGGGAUACCACCCCUGUUAUGUUGUGGAUCUAACCUCGAGCCGUGAAUCCGGUUCAGGGACACUGUAUGGUGGGUAGUUUGACUGGGGCGGUCGCCUCCCAAAAUGUAACGGAGGCGCGCGAAGCUCGGCUCAGGCUGUUUGGAAAUCAGCCGUAGAGCGCAAUGGUAUAAGCCGGGCUGACUGCGAGACUGACAAGUCGAGCAGGUGCGAAAGCAGGUCAUAGUGAUCCGGCGGUUCCGAAUGGAAGGGCCGUCGCUCAACGGAUAAAAGGUACGCCGGGGAUAACAGGCUGAUCUGGGCCAAGAGUUCAUAUCGACGCCCGGGUUUGGCACCUCGAUGUCGGCUCAUCGCAUCCUGGGGGUGGAGAAGCUCCCAAGGGUUAGGCUGUUCGCCUAUUAAAGCGGUACGCGAGCUGGGUUCAGAACGUCGCGAGACAGUUCGGUCCUUAUCCUUGGUGGGCGUAGGAAACUUGAGGGAUGCUGCCUUUAGUACGAGAGGACCGAGGCGGAUGAACCUCUUGUGAUCCAGUUGUCACGCCAGUGGCACAGCUGGGUAGCGAAGUUCAGUCGGGAUAAGCGCUGAAAGCAUAUAAGCGCGAAACCCAACCCGAGAUAAGGUUUCCCUGAAGGGCACUUGAAGACGACAAGUUUGAUAGGACGGAUGUGUAAGUGUGGCAACAUGCGAGCUAACCGUUACUAAUUGCCCGUUCGGCUUGAUUGU